rnacentral:lncRNA from 1 species
AAUUUGCUGAGCCAAUCUUUAUAAUUGGGUUUGGUCAAACAGUUGUUCUAUAGGAUAUGAGUUAAGAGUCUAGAAGCUGACUUUAUAAUCCUUAGAGAGUAAAGAUUCUAGUUAGACUUUUGUACUUGAUCCUAAUCUGUUCUAAGGUCUUUUAGAACAAAUGUAACUCCCACUAUUUUCUCGAAUUCCUCACACUCUCCUGGUAGGAAAACGAAAAUCCCACACGACUAGGAUUUCUAGUGGGUACUGCGGUCCCAUCGAUUUACAUGCCACCUCUCCUAACAGUUAUUGGUGACACAUAGAUUGAUGAAUGUACAACUCUUGUACAAUGCUUCUCAAGCAUGUUGCAGUGUAACUUGGUCUCUAAGCCAUGAAGACCUCACCUAACAGUUAUUGGUCCCAUUUCUUAGUUAAGUCAGACCCACCGUAUAACCGUAGAAAUAAAGUUGUCAUUGGGUCCUCAUCUAACAAUUAUUGGUGCCCAACCCCACCUUUACUCUACAACAUCUCAUGUCUAUAGAGAGGUCCAGCCCCCCGAUGCAACUUGACCACUGUAUCCAGCCGAGACAAAUCAACAUCAGAAAGACCUUAGCAGCUCUACUACAGUGGAAGACCUAUUGACUUAAUAUUGGUUAAUCAGGUCUUAGUGUUUGCAACUUGAGCUCUUCAUAAGAGGUAAUCGAACAAUUGGCCAGGUAAGCAGGUGGGA